rnacentral:rRNA from 1 species
AUUGAACGCUGGCGGCAGGCCUAACACAUGCAAGUCGAGCGGAUGAAGGGAGCUUGCUCCUGGAUUCAGCGGCGGACGGGUGAGUAAUGCCUAGGAAUCUGCCUGGUAGUGGGGGAUAACGUCCGGAAGCGGGCGCUAAUACCGCAUACGUCCUGAGGGAGAAAGUGGGGGAUCUUCGGACCUCACGCUAUCAGAUGAGCCUAGGUCGGAUUAGCUAGUUGGUGGGGUAAAGGCCUACCAAGGCGACGAUCCGUAACUGGUCUGAGAGGAUGAUCAGUCACACUGGAACUGAGACACGGUCCAGACUCCUACGGGAGGCAGCAGUGGGGAAUAUUGGACAAUGGGCGAAAGCCUGAUCCAGCCAUGCCGCGUGUGUGAAGAAGGUCUUCGGAUUGUAAAGCACUUUAAGUUGGGAGGAAGGGCAGUAAGUUAAUACCUUGCUGUUUUGACGUUACCAAUAGAAUAAGCACCGGCUAACUUCGUG